CAGUAGUCAUACGCUCGUCUCAAAGAUUAAGUCAUACAAGAGUAACUCUAAAUAGAGUUAGCGUGGGAAUGCGACUGGAUCACUUAAUCAGUCAUAGUGUAUUUGCAAUUGUUACUAUAUGGAUAACUGUAGUAAUUCUAGGCAGGGGGACAGGUGCCUUCUUAACUGGGUCACCAGUAAGGAAGUAUUUAAUAGACAUGCCUCCUUUUUGCUAAUGGUGAGUAAUCAUAAUCCUUUGUCUUUCCCGCAUUCUUUGGUAGUAGUAAUGAUCUUCCUUUCAAGAGUUGAUCCUAUCAGCUUCAGAUGGUAGUGUAAGCGCAUCCCAUCACAGUACCAGGUAACGAAGAAGCUCCCAAUAAUCUAGGAGCCUGUUCCUGAGAGAUGGCUGAUUCAUUCAAGCAAGGCACCAGGCAGGUUUCCUCCCCAGUAACCGCGCAGGGAGGUAACGACAAUUAAUGUCAGUUAGCACCCUCAGGUUUCGUAACAGAAUUGAGAACAAAGUACAUCCGUUAUCGAUAAACAAUUGGAGGGCAAGUGUGGUCCCAGCAGCCGCGGUAACUCCAACUCCCAUAGCGUAUACAAACGUUGUUGCAGUUAAAAA
rnacentral:rRNA from 1 species